AUCAAAGCAAUGAAAGGAAAUAGUAGCAGGACAUCCCUGGCAUAGAGAGUCGAUGGUCGGUGGAAAUCGAACCGGGAUGCUUGUGAAUCCAUCCUGGAGUGGAAUGCUGAAAAAAUGAGUAGGCAUUUCCGGUUCUCGCCGUUAUCCAGAUGAAGUGGAAAGUGUGCAACUUUCAAUUAGGGUGGCAACGCGGGUUACUCUCGUCCCUUAU
rnacentral:ncRNA from 1 species